GGUUAGUGUACUUUGCGAAUUCACAGGCCCUAUAUUAUGGUAUGAACUGAGUACGCGAUGAUUUAUGGUGCAUAUUGGGGGCUUACCAUAAGAUAAUGCCAUGAAUUCGGCAAAGUGUUCAAACC
rnacentral:pre_miRNA from 1 species